AGUGGUGGAUUAUUAUUAGUUCUUAUAGGUUUUGAGAUAGGCGGUGAAGUUAAGAGCAAUGUUUUGUGGGCAGGGGUGGAUCUCACAAAGUACAUUCUCAAGGGUGGGGAGAAUUACAAAGAACCUUCUUAAGGGUGGGGGAGAUUACAAAGUACAUUGAUUAGUUAGGGUGGGGCGGGAACAAAUCACAAUGGUGGAAUGUCAUCAGUUAAGGCUAUGUUUACUUCUUUUGUGGAUCUUCAGUUACUUCAGACCAUCUGGAUGUAUACGUGCAAGUCACAGGGGAUGCGAUGGCUUGGCUUGGGCUCAGAGGCCUGACACACACCAUCUAUUUAAUUCUGUGACCUGCUCCAGACACAAGCACUCUGGGCCCCCAUAUUCUUUUUCUUGUUUUCCCUAUCACCGACCUCUUCCAACACCCCAAAUAAUUUACUUAGGGAUGGCCAUGGUUUACCCUCUGUCUCCCACUUCUUCCCCGCAGGCCUUCAGCUCCCCCAGGUGAGGGAGACCUUUGCUUUGUUCACCGACAUAUCCCAAGCAUUAGAACUGCGCCUGGCACCAGCAGGUGUUCAAUUAUUUAUUUAAUGGGUGACUUGGAGCAGAAACCGAAGUGCAGUGGACUGUUUUCCUGGGAUCUGAGCUGAUGAUAAAUGAUAAAUAAGUCUUGGGAUUUUAGAAGGCAGGAAUCACGAAAACCAACACCAAUGAAAUCCAAGUCUCCUCUGCUACUAUCUGAAGUGGAACAGAACCCUUCGAGGUGUCCCUUUGUCUCUUUGAGGUUCCCUCCGUGACACUGGCUACUUUGUAACUAACCCUGGAGAACCUGCCCCGGAACCAAGAGCCGCAGCCAGCUCAGGCCUCUCGAGUGGGGCCUUUCCAGCCCCUGCAACAGAUCCCGGGAUCUGUAGUUGGGCGGAGGGGCUCGUUAUGGGAAAGGGGUGCGUGCGCGUUUGUGCUAAAACAAGAAAGGCAAGAAUCUCCGAGAACAAAACUCUGGUCCUCGCCUGGCCGGGGACCGCAGAAGACAGGGGCGGCAGCGCCAAGGCGGGUCAGGGGCCGGUCCAGCCAAGUUUGCUCCGGCUUAGAUAAACUUUCUGAUGGCAGUUUUUCCUGGUUGCAGCCUGGGUUCCUUGUAACAGGACAAAGCCCUUCCCUCCCCUCCUCCUCUUUCCUCUCCUCUCCCCUCCCCUCCCCUCCUUUCUCCCCCUUCCUCCUCUUGCUCCUCCCGGGCGGGGAAACCCAGCCCCGCGCUCGUCUUUGGGGCCACCGGUCGCCCCCGCCUCCGGGACCUGCGGGGAGGGCCCGCGAGAGAGAGAAGAAGCGGGAAAAAGAUCAAGAGUCAGAGAUUGCAGAGAGGAAUUCCAAGAGGAAUCUUUAGUCAGAAAAAGCCAUGAGUCUCUCUUGUCCUCUGCCACUGUGGCAUGUAAAGGAAUUGAAAAUGCCUUGAGAAAAUUAUUCGUAUUCUAGAAAAAGGACACAAGGGAGUGGGAUCCAUGCAUUUGCUCAUCAAAUCACUAUUGGGUACCAAUUGUGUUGUCAGGCACUGAACAGGCAGGGUACCCGCUUUGUACUUCCCUGAAUCUCCAUGGCCAUUGUCCCAUUCCAAGCCAUUGUUCUCUCUUGUGAAUAGGAUGAUGUAAUAGGAUUUGGUGUUACAAAGUUCACCCUGACUGCUGAUCACAGACAGCAUUUCAGUGGAGCAAGAGUGGCCUCAGUGAGACCAGAUAGGAGAAGACUGUGAUCAUUCAGAAACUGGUCCCUGGCUAGAGGAAAGAAUUGGAGGCAAAAUUUGGAGAAUGACCCAGCAAAGCUGUGGUGAAUUAGAUGUGAGGAGAGCAGAAGAGUCAAGGAUGGCCCAUUACUGACCACCCACAUUCAUGGAGGCAUUAUUUAAGGAGAUGAUCAAUCUGGUAGGAAAAGAAGCCAGAGCAAUACAGAGUUCCACUUCGUAUGUGUUAAGUUUGAUGAGCCUGUGAAAACCCAAGGAGGUGUUAAAUAUCUGGGAGUCUGGAGCUUGAAAGAGAGCUUUGGGCUACAAAUGCAUUGGUAGCAGUUUUCAGAAUAUAGAAAGCCUAAAGAGGAUAAAAUUGUCUAAGAAAAGGAUAUGGAGAUGUUAUCCUAGGGUUAACUCGUGUAAUAGGAUGGCAAUAAGUGCAAAAUUUUAUGUUGCCAACUAUG
rnacentral:lncRNA from 1 species